AAGAGUGCCUGAGGAGCCCAUUUGUUUUGAUCCACAGCAUUUAAAAGGAGGACAGAGCAAAACGGACAUCGGCGCAGAGCGAAGAACUGCCCUUGAUAAGGACACUAUGACAGCCAUAUAUAUGGCGGUAAGGAAGAGGUUUCCCACUGUGUCCAGAGGGGCUUUGAGGAUUGCAGUGAAUUCGAAGCUGGGGGAACUGAGACUGCUGGAAAAGGAAAAAAAAAAACAUUUAAAGUGUGUAAUAUAUUUUGAAAUAUAUUUCAAAAUAUGCAAAAAAUGGCCAAAACAUAUGUGCGUUAAAAUACAUUUCAAAAUAUAUAAAUAUAUUUUAAAAUUCUGUAUACGAAAAGUGAGCGCGAGAGCCCUCGGUGCGCCUGCUCGCUGCUGAAGUCAAAGUAAACUUUAUUGUCAUCUCUGCUACAUACAGUCCAGCAUAUAGAGAGACGAGAUGACGAGGCUCCAGUUACAGCAGUGCAAGUAAACAAACAAUAAAUAUAAGAAGAGUAAGAAAAUAUAUAUGCACUUUAGGACUCGGGGUAAAGGGAUCAAUAACAAUUUAAAAUGUAUAAUUUACAGUUUGAUGAUUUAAAGUCACACACAACCUGUCGAAAGGGGAGGGGUUCCAUGGGCUCCCCAGUUUCACCCAUCGUGGCCAAUUUGUACAUGGAAGAAGUGGAAAAGAGGGCUUUGCUAUCCUACCCUGGAACACCACCAAGCCAUUGGUUCAGAUAUGUGGAUGACACCUGGGUGAAAAUCAAAUCUUAGGACGUUCCACAUUUCACGGAUCACAUUAACUCGGUGGACCGACACAUCAAAUUCACCAGGGAGGAUAUGAAAAGUGGCAGGUUAGCCUUCUUAGACUGUGAGAUUUCCAUCAGUAAUGGGGGACAUCUAAAAGCUGACGUGUACCGUAAACCUACACAUACGGAUCAAUAUCUAAGGUUUGACUCUCAUCAUCCACUGGAGCACAAACUGGGUGUCAUCAGGACGCUACAACACAGAGCGAACACCAUCCCCACUGACACAGCGGCCAGGGAGGCAGAAGAACAGCACAUCAAGAAGGCCCUGAGUAAAUGUGGUUAUCCCAGCUGGACUUUUGUCAAAGCUGGGAAGGCACCUAAAGAAAGCUCCAGCCGAUCCAGGAGAGAAGGACAACUGCUGCCCAGGUGAAAACCUGUAGUGAUCCCAUAUGUGUCAGGAGUAUCGGAGCAGUUGAGACGCAUUUUUUCUAAACACCGGGUCUCUGUGGCUUUUAAACCCCAAAACACGCUGCGC
ensembl:lncRNA